NNCCUCCAGUUCCCUUUCCCGUCAGAUCACAAACUGGUCUGGGCUGGUCUUAAAAGGAGGAAAAGGAACGUUGACGCUGGCCCUCAGUGCUCUUGGGGCUCAGCUAGUUCAAACAGGG
ensembl:snoRNA